AUGGAGCUCCUGGACAACCUCGGCCCGGGCGCCGCGUCGGCCGCGGGCGUCGCGUCGGCCGCGUGCGCGCCGGAGUGCUGCCUCCUCUCAUCCCAGGUGCUCGACGGCAUGGACUCGGCGACCACCAUCCGUUUGCAAGCACUGGUGGGAAAUCAAGUGAUGCUGCUUCUUCUCAACUCCGGCAACACACACAGCUUCGUUAACAAGUCAUUCAUCGACCACAUCGACGUUGUCACGGAGGAGAUGGCGCCCAUGGACGUACGCGUCGCAAACGGCGAUCGGCUCACCUGUAACCGCAUCGUGCCCGAGCUCAAGUGGUGCAUGCAGGGGCACACCUUCGCCAGGCCCGUGCGUGAGCUGGAGAUCAGCGCUUACAACGGCAUCUUGGGCAUGGACUGGCUCGCCCAGCACAGUCCCAUGACAUGCCACUAG
rnacentral:rRNA from 1 species